GACGAACGCUGGCGGCGUGCCUAAUACAUGCAAGUCGAACGCAUUUUCUUUCACCGUAGCUUGCUACACCGAAAGAAAAUGAGUGGCGAACGGGUGAGUAACACGUGGGUAACCUGCCCAUCAGCGGGGGAUAACACUUGGAAACAGGUGCUAAUACCGCAUAAUUCCAUUUACCGCAUGGUAGAUGGGUGAAAGGCGCUUUUGCGUCACUGAUGGAUGGACCCGCGGUGCAUUAGCUAGUUGGUGGGGUAACGGCCUACCAAGGCUGCGAUGCAUAGCCGACCUGAGAGGGUGAUCGGCCACACUGGGACUGAGACACGGCCCAGACUCCUACGGGAGGCAGCAGUAGGGAAUCUUCGGCAAUGGACGCAAGUCUGACCGAGCAACGCCGCGUGAGUGAAGAAGGUUUUCGGAUCGUAAAACUCUGUUGUUAGAGAAGAACAAGGAUGAGAGUGGAAAGUUCAUCCCUUGUCGGUAUCUAACCAGAAAGCCACGGCUAACUACGUG
rnacentral:rRNA from 1 species